CCUUCUCGGUCACUUUCUCCGCCGGAGCUGCAGGUUCACCUUCUUUCUUCUCUUCCACCACAGGUGCAGCUUCUUUCUUCUCUUCCACCACAGGUUCAGCUUCUUUCUUCUCUUCCACCACAGGUUCAGCUUCUUUCUUCACUUCCACCACAGGUACAGCUUCUUUCUUCUCAACAGGUUCAGCUUCUUUCUUCGAUUCCACCACAGGUACAGUUUCUUUCUUCUCCUCCACCACAGGUUCAGCUUCUUUCUUCUCUUCCACCACAAGUGCAGUUUCUUUCUUCUCUUCGACCACAGGUGCAGUGAAUUCAUGUUUGUUCAGAGCAUCUCGAACCAAUUCCUUCAACUCAGCUAAAGCCUUCUGUUCAGGAUUUG
rnacentral:lncRNA from 1 species